rnacentral:sRNA from 1 species
UGAUACCAGGGUCAAAAGGUCUAAACCCACAUGAGCUUGCUCAUAGGUGGGUGAAAGACCUUGGGACCCCUGGUAUCA